rnacentral:lncRNA from 1 species
AGCAGCUCCAUCCUGCUCCGGCUCUCCUUGCGCUGGGCCCAUGGUCAGAGCCAGGCACUUGGCCGACAUGCCCGAGCCCAGUUGUCUGUGCCAGGACCUCCAGCCUGCGGCCACCUGCACUUCAAGCACCAAGUUGGCUCUGGAAGACCUCAGGAUGGUCUGACCUAGGAACUGGCAGAGUCUUGUUAUGCAGCUCAGGCUAGCCUGAAACUUACAACCUCCUGACUCUGCGUCCCAGGUGCUGGGAUUUCAGCUGCCUUGCCGUUGCUGCCUCCCAUUGAGGCCCUGGAUAAAGUCUCAGCCAACAAACACAAGUGCAAGUCCGGCUGCCACUAUCCCCAGGGUCUGCCAGGGGACCCUCAACAAUCACCUCCUCGUGUUGCUGGGUGUCGAUGGCACCAGACGAGUCUACCUGCCGGACAACUUUGCGAAUGAUCUGGAAAGAGAGGGGAAGAGAAGGAGAGAUGGUCAAGUCGUCAGGACAACAUUUGAGAAGAACAGGGCUCCAGCAGAGGCACCAGGAGGAGAGGUCAUGGCUUCCUGUCCCCCGAAGCCAAGAAGAAGCCUUUCUCUGCUGUCAUCUAUGGGGAAUGUCAGUGGGGCUUGGACUGGGGAGCACGGCUGGCAGAGGCUCUGCUCUUACCUUCUUGGUAACAAUGUUGCCCUGUUCAUCUGUGAAUUGUUCCUCCGUCACCUGCUCUCCUGGAAUAUUCUGAAGCUCAUCCCCCUGGAAUUAGAAGAAGGGAAAGACCCAGACUGCAUCACCAUGCAUGAGCCACAGACUGUCCUCUGGCACCCGAGGUCCGGCCCCCGCUACCCUGCCGCUUGCCUGGUGUUACCUUCAGGAAGACCCGUCGGCGGACCACCCUGGUAGAGAUGGUCUCCUCGUCAUCGCUCAGGCCCUCGCUCUCCCCCAGCUCCUUGUCCAGUUCCUGGUGGAUGUGCUUCAGCACAAAGCACAGGGAACCCUUGACAAUAUGCAUCACAUUCUGACAGCUGACCAGGAAGAAGCCUAACAGCACCAACGUGACCAGGAGCUGCGUGAUGAAGGUCCACAUCCUCCUCUCCUCCCUCUCCUCACCAGCCUGGCCCUCCAGGGACUGGGGACACCAGGGGCCCAGCUGCUGUGGAGAUCCAGUUUCUCAUUCUCCUCUCGGACGCCUGAAGUCCCCAGCCAGCCCUUCCAUUCCGUCUCUUUAUCCUCUUUUCUCUUUAUCUCCUGUUUAUUCUAAACGGGAGACCAAAUGGUCUCUCCUGCGUGACUCUCUUAGCUGGGACGUGGUGACCCAAAUGUCCUUCCUGCCAAACGGCCCAGGAUCUCUCCUCACACCCCAGAGGACGUCAGCCUUCUAUAAUUUUAGUAAUUUUAGCUCUCGAGCCAGCUGCUAGAGCUGUCCAACUGGGAUGAGAGGAGACAGCAGGUGCUGUAUCUUGGUCUCAGGAAACACAUGUCAAAGUGACCGUAGAGAGGGAAACCGGGCUUGUCUAGGGUGCCAGAGGAAAAGUCUCUCAUUCAGCGACUCCAUAAAACAAGGUGUCCC